GUACGGGAGGCAGCAGUGAGGAAUAUUGCACAAUGGGCGCAAGCCUGAUGCAGCAACGCCGCGUGCGGGACGAAGGCCUUCGGGUCGUAAACCGCUUUUCUGAGGGACGAGACAGGACGGUACCUCAGGAAUAAGUCUCGGCUAACUACGUGCCAGCAGCCGCGGUAAAACGUAGGAGGCGAGCGUUAUCCGGAUUUACUGGGCGUAAAGCGCACGCAGGCGGCCGAGUGAGUCGGACGUGAAAGCUCCUGGCUUAACUGGGAGAGGCCGUUCGAUACUGCUCGGCUUGAGGUUGGGAGAGGGGUGCGGAAUUCCCGGUGUAGUGGUGGAAUGCGUAGAUAUCGGGAGGAACACCAGUGGCGAAGGCGGCACCCUGGCCCACACCUGACGCUGAGGUGCGAAAGCGUGGGUAGCAAACAGGAUUAGAUACCCCGGU
rnacentral:rRNA from 1 species